rnacentral:misc_RNA from 1 species
GAUGAAGAACGUAGUGAAAUGCGAAAAGUAAUGUGAAUUGCAGAAUUCAGUGAAUCAUCGAAUCUUUGAACGCACAUUGCGCCCGCUGGUACUCCGGCGGCACGCCUGUCCGAGCGUCAUUUCAACCCUCAAGCCCUCCUUCGGGAUGGGCCUGGUGUUGGGGCUCGGCCGCCAUCUCCGGCGGCCGUCCCCUAAAUACAGUGGCGGUCACGUCGCGACUCCUUUGCGUAGUAGAAACACCUCGCUCCGGAUAGCAACGCGGUCCACGCCGUAAAACCACCAAUUUUCAAUGGUUGACCUCGGAUCAGGUGGGAAUACCCGCUGAACUUAAGCAUAUCAAUAAGCGGAGGA